rnacentral:rRNA from 1 species
UACGGAGGGUGCAAGCGUUGUCCGGAAUCACUGGGCGUAAAGGGCGCGUAGGCGGCUCGUGAAGUCGGGUGUGAAAGCCCGGGGCUCAACCCCGGAACGGCAUCCGAUACUGGCGGGCUUGAGACCGGGAGAGGAGGGUGGAAUACCCAGUGUAGAGGUGAAAUUCGUAGAUAUCGGGAGGAACACCAGUGGCGAAGGCGACUACCUGGCCUGUUCUUGACGCUGAGGCGCGAAAGCUAGGGGAGCAAACGGG